UACAGAGGGUGCGAGCGUUAAUCGGAGUUACUGGGCGUAAAGGGCGCGUAGGCGGUUGUGUGAGGGUGAUGUGAAAGCCCUGGGCUUAACCUAGGAAGUGCAUCGCAAACGACACAACUGGAGUAUAUGAGAGGGUGGCGGAAUUUCCGGUGUAGCGGUGAAAUGCGUAGAGAUCGGGAGGAAUACCAGAGGCGAAGGCGGCGAACUGGACAGCAACUGACACUAAACUACGAAAGCGUGGGGAGCAAACAGG
rnacentral:rRNA from 1 species